rnacentral:lncRNA from 1 species
CUGUUUUCACGAAGUGACGGUAGUGAGGAAAAUCGCAUACAUUUUCACUUUUGAUUUUUUUGCAUUUUUGGACAUCAUUCACUAACAUCUUGAACCUCACAAAAUUUCAGAUCAUAAUAAUGUCUAAUUAUGUCGCUAUGACGAUGACGUAAACAAGAAAAUGCAUAGCAAAAGGAUUUUCUGUUUUCACGAAGUGACGGCCAAGUACGCGCUUAACAGCCGUCAAUUCGUGAAAACAUCGUUUGCUCUUUUCCUGCUUUUAAUAUUUUCACGAAGUGACGGUAGUGAAAAAUUCGCAGUUUGGAACAGUCACAGACCAUGAAAAGUUUCAGAUGCAGUAGAUACAAUUUGCACUUUAUAUGAAGGAAGCACUGGGAAAGUACAUCUACUUUUCAAGAAUGCCACAGGCCAGACACAAAUCCAGAUUGGAUACAGGGACCGACAUGCUGGUAAGAUGGGUCCUUGAUAAUUCACUGAACACAGAGCUGCAGAUGUGACUCGGCAUAGUGACCUAAGAGUGGGAGCGGUAUGGAACCGUUGAAGCAAUUCACCGAACACUGUUGAAGCAAUUCACCGAACACAGUCAGAGCUGCAUGUGUGACUUGGCAUGGUGACCCUUAAAGUCUCCUGACGGCUCCGAUUGCGAUUCUGAUGAGGACCCAUUGUCUAUGCUUGUGAGCGAGUCAAAAGCAGUCUAGAUCAAGAAUCUUCGCUGCUUCAACCACUAUCGCUUGGAUGACAUUAUGUGUGAAGAAACUUGAAGGACUUGUGUUGGAGGGCAUGCUUGAGAAACUAGAAUCAAUUACAUAGAUCGUUUUGGCAAUGCUUCAAUGUUUCAAUACCUCAAUCUCUCUUUUAUACUGUUUGAUUUUAAACAUUUUGAAUAUCAUAAAUAAAGCAAACUCCACUCAUAAUUGUAAUUGUGUGUACUAGCAAUAACAAUGAAAUGGAUUGAUUAUAAAAUCAAUGAAUUGAUUUAAAGCAAACUGGUAACAUUUUCCAUGAGUUCUGAAACAAUUAACUGAAUGGUCGUACAGGUGUCAGUUUUCUGUUACAGUAUUGUAAUGAACUCCUGCAAACAUAAAUCUUUAAUAUUCAAAUGUAUAGCUCAGAACUGCUAUUUAUCAGGUAUACCUACCUCGAUCAGUAAUGCAUAUUAGAGUUUUCGAUUCCAGUUCCAUGAAUCCUCAUAUUGUAUCUUUGUAUUGAAGAAUUUGUUUAUCCAUUUUCUUUAAAUGUUUGUAUUCACAGUGGUUGAUGCCUUCAUUAGAACAUGAAUAUAAGUUACAUUUCAACAAUUGGUUUUUCUCUCAAAACACAAUGUUACUAGUUCACAUUUAAUGUUUUAAUUUAUUUCUUCUAUAGUCAUUCUCAUAAUUGUAUUUGGUACUUCAAACUAUCCUAUAAUGAUCAUACAAUAUAAUGUUGCUGUUUUGAAUUGUAUCUGUUUGAUGACAAAUGAAAUUGAUUAGUCAAAUUGAUAUUUCCAUGUUUAUCAUGCAUUGUUUAGCUGAUAAUAGUUUAGUCAGAGAUUACGUGUUUACCUGGGUGAAGACAACCUUUAAGCAUUGGUAAACUUUGUAGCGUUUGAGACUGUGUACUAAAUUUCAUUGAAAUACCUUAGAAAGAGAUUGUGUAAACUGACUUGGUUCUGAUACUCUACUCACAAGAUAUUUAUGAAAAACAGUGAUGAACAAAAAAGUAACGAUGAUUAUUAUAUUAGUCAUUUUUCCCAUUGGAAAACUUUAUGAUACAUGUAGUACAUGUUUGUCGAGCAUUUUGUAUGUCACAUGUGGCAUUAACUCGCUACGAUUGCUGAAUAAACAUGAUAACCAAGUCGUAUAUAAAGAAUUAGAUAAAGACAUUUUAGCAUAUUUACAAGUACUGUAUAAUGAAUGAAAUAACCUUCGUAUUCCGUGGAUGUAUAUAACUGAUGAGUCUUUUCCACAGAACCCUAAAUGUACAUUUUAAAAUGCAAUACAGUAUUGAUGAUAAUUGAUGAUGAUAUGUUUGGUAUGAAUUAUUUAAUAUUUUUGAAUUUAUGCUCCAUUUUCCACUUGCUGUUCUGGUUCCAAAUGUUUGAAUUAAAACUGCUCAGUCAAAAUUCA